rnacentral:lncRNA from 1 species
AAAAUAUCUGAUUGCAUCUUUUUCACUUUGUGUUUGUAGAAUUGAAUUUCUUGUGAACAACGUAACGGUGUGCUUUCUUCACUUACAUUUUUCAGUUUAAUCUUUUGAUUAGAGAAUGUCAUCCACUUCCAGUUAAAUAAUUACAGAGAGACCAAAGAUAUGAAUUCCCUAUGCAGCAUGUUUACAAUAUUAGAAUCUUCUGAGUUUGUAUUUCUUUUAUGGGUGUGCAUCUGGGCUGAGAUUGCACCACUUCGUGUGCCUAUGGAAGCCAUUGGACAACUUACAGGAGUCAGUUCUCUCUUUCUACCGUGUGGAUUCCAAGGGGUGAACGCAGGCCAUCAGGUUUAGAGACUUUACCCACUGGACCACUUUAGCAGCUUUCCUGUUUUGUUUUGUUUUAAUUGACACAUGGUCAUUGUGCAUUGUACUGAGUUUCAAUGGAACAUGUCAUAUAAGGAUAUAAUGUUCUUUAAACAUUACCCUAUGCUACAUGUUUGCCCUUUCUUUUUCCCCUCCCAAUUCCCAUUACUCCCAUUCAUUCACUAAUGGUUGGCUCUACAUUUAUGUAACGAAUACAAACAUGGUUUAAUGUACCCAGAUAGAUGCUACGAUUCCAGAUGAAGAGAAACAUGACUUUUUUCAGUUCGAUAUUUUGUUCCCUUUGUAUGAUAAUGUCCAGCAUUAUACAUUUUCCUGCAAGUCAU